UACGGAGGGUGCAAGCGUUAUCCGGAUUCACUGGGUUUAAAGGGUGCGUAGGCGGUCUUGUAAGUCAGUUGUGAAAUACGGCAGCUUAACUGUCGAGGUGCAAUUGAUACUGCAGGACUUGAGUACUGAUGAGGUAGGCGGAAUGGACGGUGUAGCGGUGAAAUGCUUAGAUAUCGUCCAGAACACCGAUAGCGAAGGCAGCUUACUAAGGAGUAACUGACGCUGAGGCACGAAAGUGUGGGGAUCAAACAGG
rnacentral:rRNA from 1 species